AUUCCAGCUCCAAUAGCGUAUAUUAAAGUUGUUGCGGUUAAAAAGCUCGUAGUUGGAUUUCUGCUGAGGACGACCGGUCCGCCCUCUGGGUGAGUAUCUGGCUCGGCCUGGGCAUCUUCUUGGAGAGCGUAGCUGCACUUGACUGUGUGGUGCGGUAUCCAGGACUUUUACUUUGAGGAAAUUAGAGUGUUUCAAGCAGGCACACGCCUUGAAUACAUUAGCAUGGAAUAAUAAGAUAGGACCUUGGUUCUAUUUUGUUGGUUUCGAACACCGGAGUAAUGAUUAACAGGGACAGUCAGGGGCACUCGUAUUCCGCCGAGAGAGGUGAAAUUCUCAGACCAGCGGAAGACGAACCACUGCGAAAGCAUUUACCAAGGAUGUUUUCAUCG
rnacentral:rRNA from 1 species